rnacentral:rRNA from 1 species
GUAGGGCGGGACACGUGGUAUCCUGUCUGAAUAUGGGGGGACCAUCCUCCAAGGCUAAAUACUCCUGACUGACCGAUAGUGAACCAGUACCGUGAGGGAAAGGCGAAAAGAACCCCGGCGAGGGGAGUGAAAAAGAACCUGAAACCGUGUACGUACAAGCAGUGGGAGCACCCUUUGGGGUGUGACUGCGUACCUUUUGUAUAAUGGGUCAGCGACUUAUAUUCUGUAGCAAGGUUAACCGUAUAGGGGAGCCGGAGGGAAACCGAGUCUUAACCGGGCGUUAAGUUGCAGGGUAUAGACCCGAAACCCGGUGAUCUAGCCAUGGGCAGGUUGAAGGUUGGGUAACACUAACUGGAGGACCGAACCGACUAAUGUUGAAAAAUUAGCGGAUGACCUGUGGCUGGGGGUGAAAGGCCAAUCAAACCGGGAGAUAGCUGGUUCUCCCCGAAAGCUAUUUAGGUAGCGCCUCGUGAAUUCAUCUCCGGGGGUAGAGCACUGUUUCGGCUAGGGGGCCAUCCCGGCUUACCAACCCGAUGCAAACUGCGAAUACCGGAGAAUGUUAUCACGGGAGACACACGGCGGGUGCUAACGUCCGUCGUGAAGAGGGAAACAACCCAGACCGCCAGCUAAGGUCCCAAAGUCAUGGUUAAGUGGGAAACGAUGUGGGAAGGCCCAGACAGCCAGGAUGUUGGCUUAGAAGCAGCCAUCAUUUAAAGAAAGCGUAAUAGCUCACUGGUCGAGUCGGCCUGCGCGGAAGAUGUAACGGGGCUAAACCAUGCACCGAAGCUGCGGCAGCGACACUCAGGUGUUGUUGGGUAGGGGAGCGUUCUGUAAGCCUGCGAAGGUGGCCUGUGAGGGUUGCUGGAGGUAUCAGAAGUGCGAAUGCUGACAUAAGUAACGAUAAAGCGGGUGAAAAGCCCGCUCGCCGGAAGACCAAGGGUUCCUGUCCAACGUUAAUCGGGGCAGGGUGAGUCGACCCCUAAGGCGAGGCCGAAAGGCGUAGUCGAUGGGAAACGGGUUAAUAUUCCCGUACUUGGUGUUACUGCGAAGGGGGGACGGAGAAGGCUAUGUUGGCCGGGCGACGGUUGUCCCGGUUUAAGCGUGUAGGUGUGUGUUCCAGGUAAAUCCGGUUCACUUUAACACUGAGGCGUGACGACGAGGCACUACGGUGCUGAAGCAACAAAUGCCCUGCUUCCAGGAAAAGCCUCUAAGCAUCAGGUAACAUCAAAUCGUACCCCAAACCGACACAGGUGGUCAGGUAGAGAAUACCAAGGCGCUUGAGAGAACUCGGGUGAAGGAACUAGGCAAAAUGGUGCCGUAACUUCGGGAGAAGGCACGCUGACAUGUAGGUGAAGUGAUUUACUCAUGGAGCUGAAGUCAGUCGAAGAUACCAGCUGGCUGCAACUGUUUAUUAAAAACACAGCACUGUGCAAACACGAAAGUGGACGUAUACGGUGUGACGCCUGCCCGGUGCCGGAAGGUUAAUUGAUGGGGUCAGCGCAAGCGAAGCUCCUGAUCGAAGCCCCGGUAAACGGCGGCCGUAACUAUAACGGUCCUAAGGUAGCGAAAUUCCUUGUCGGGUAAGUUCCGACCUGCACGAAUGGCGUAAUGAUGGCCAGGCUGUCUCCACCCGAGACUCAGUGAAAUUGAACUCGCUGUGAAGAUGCAGUGUACCCGCGGCAAGACGGAAAGACCCCGUGAACCUUUACUAUAGCUUGACACUGAACAUUGAGCCUUGAUGUGUAGGAUAGGUGGGAGGCUUUGAAGUGUGG